CCUUGGCCGAAAGGUCUGGGUAAUCUUGUKAAACUCCGUCGUGCUGGGGAUAGAGCAUUGCAAUUAUUGCUCUUCAACGAGGAAUUCCUAGUAAGCGCAA
rnacentral:rRNA from 1 species